rfam:Schistosoma curassoni strain Dakar, Senegal genome assembly, scaffold: SCTD_scaffold0000076
GCACUACUGAGGAGUCCCAAAAUAGGACAAUACGGCCGUCCAGUAU